rnacentral:pre_miRNA from 1 species
GAUAUACUCCCUUCGUUCGGAAUUACUUGUCUCGAAUAUGGAUGUAUCUAGAACUAAAAUACAUCUAGAUACAUCCAUUUCUGCGACAAGUAAUUUCGAACGGAGGGAGUAUUUA